rnacentral:rRNA from 1 species
GACGAACGCUGGCGGCGUGCCUAAUACAUGCAAGUAGAACGAGUUGCGAACGGGUGAGUAACGCGUGGUAACCUGCCUAAUAGCGGGGGAUUACUACUGGAAACGGUAGCCAAUUCCGCAUACCAUCAGAUGUGCCCAAAUGGGAUUAGCUUGUUGGUGGGGUAACGGCGCACCAGGGCGACGAUCCCUAGCUGGUCUGAGAGGGUGACCAGCCACACUGGAACUGAGACACGGUGCAGACGCCUACGGGAGGCAGCAGUGGGGAAUAUUGCACAAUGGGCGCAAGCCUGAUGCAGCCAUGCCGCGUGUAUGAAGAAGGCCUUCGGGUUGUAAAGUACUUUCAGCGGGGAGGCGUGACCCGCAGAAGAAGCACCGGCUAACUCCGUGCCAGCAGCCGCGGUAAUAC